rnacentral:misc_RNA from 1 species
AAAGAAAGCAACUUGCUUGAGAGUUGCGAAAUGCCAAAAAUCUAGUAAAGUUGUAUGCGGACUGGGGACCACAGAAUAUUCUGUAAUCCAUUGUUUUUCCAACAAGUAGUCACAAAAGUCUUCACUACUUCUCAGAGAAGUAGUGCUGCUCCACUGAUGACUUAGCGUCCACUAUCCAAGUCAAUGUCUACUCUAUUACUAAAAGCAUUGUUCUUUCACUGGAAACUUCACCCUUCACCAUAGCUAGCAUUUCUCCUCUGUUCCACUUCUUCUUCUCCGCUUCCUUUCCAAUUAACAGAUCUUUGCUUUCCUACUUUUCUGUUUCAGUAAAGAGGAAUCAUGUAAAAUUCCUCUUCUGGUCCAAUGCAGUCUGCGCCACCUGGGUGGAGAUUCCGCCCAACCGAUUUUGAACUGCUUGACCAUUAUUUGAAGAACAAGAGGCUUGGUCAUCUUACCCAUUGCUUCGACAUCCGAGAGUUUGAACUAUGCGAUUUUGUUCCUUCAGAUCUUUUACCUGAAUCCUCCAAUGAAGAGUUCUAUUUCUUUUGCCCUCCUGAGAAUUACGUAGAAAAAAAUGGACGGCACAAAACGCAUAGGAAAGCGAGGUCUGGAAUCUGGAGAGGCACAGGCAAGACUAACUCAGUUACAUCUGAAGAUAGUGAUGAGGAAAUUGGAACAAGAAAGAUUUUUGUUUACUAUGAUCCGAAGCCAACUAAAUGGGUCAUGCACGAAUAUGCCUUCACUGCAAAGCUCGACGUGCCUUUUAAGGGAGAUUUCGUUCUUUGUAAAUUACAUAUAAACAAGAAGCAAAAAGCCAAUAAGAAGUCGGAGGAGAUUGAACCAAAUUCCAAGAAGAGAAAAAGAAAUAAAAAAUCAGAGGAUAUGGUGCUUGGUUGCAAGAAAGGUAAAUCAAGUAAGAAGGCAAGAAUAGAUUUAUCAAAUUGCAAUAAGGCUUCAGCUUCUACUUUUGAAAAGCAAAAUUUAGAGAUAAUGGCUAAUUCAGCCUGUGGUGAAGAUGAACCGCCCAAUCAUAUGACUUCAGAUUAUGAAAGUCAGAGUCCAAAUAAGAUGGCUUCAACCUAUGAUAUAGGUGAGUCAUGUUAUCGAAGUUGUCCUACUUUUGAAUAUGAAGACCUAUAUGAUAUGUCUGCUUUCUCAACCUCCAACAGAGGUGAAGAAAGUUUCUCUAUUGUUCAAAACCCAUGUGGUAUGUCUGCUAUCGCAACCUACAACAAAGGUGAAGAAUGUCUCUCAAUGACUCAAACUCCUUAUGGUGUAAAUAAUGUUUCAACCUGUAACAAAGUUGAAAUGUUACAGGUUGAAACAAGUUGUCCAAUAGCUUCUGAUUUGGAAUAUCAAAAUCCAAAUGAGAUGACUGCUAUGUCAACCAACGAGAGAUGUAAAGUUAACUGCCAAGUGAUUUCUGAUACUGAAAAUCAAAAUGCAGAUAAGAAAAGUGAUAUAUUAGUAUCUGAACAAGUUGAAUGGAGUCCCCUUGCAACAACACCUGAUUGUAGAAAUCAAAAUCCACUUGAGAAGACCAAUGUGUCAACAUCCUGUUCUAGUUUAGAAAUUAAUGCAGCAGAAGCUGCAUUUUCAGAGGUAAGAAGUAGCAUGCCUCACAUAUUAUUAAUUUUUCUAGCGGUGCAUGAGAAUCAAACUCAGUAAUAGAGAUAAAAUUAUUCUUGGAGCUCACGCUUGAGUUUCUUAGGUUGAGUGUUUCUUGUUACUCAAGACUAUUGCAUGCUUUUAAUAUGAUUCUUUCUGUGGGUACAGUAUCCACCGACUUUUUUCGAUCAGAUGAAAGCAUUAAUUGAGCCAAAAGAUUGUCUGAACUCUGCACUUUUCUCGCCUACAAGGAUUGAGGAAAGCCUCUCUCACACUAGCUUUAGUGCCUUUCUGCCUAGUGGAACAAGUUCUGAAUUAGGAACUACAUGAGAAUGUUUCUCUGCCCCAUUUGGCACUCUAUAACAAAGUAUUUAAACUGAA